rnacentral:rRNA from 1 species
UGCUAACGACGUGCCAGCGGCGGGGGGAAGAGGUAGUGGGCGUGCGUGAAUGGGCAGGACGGGGCGUAAAGCGUGCGCAGGCGGUUUUGUAAGGCAGAGGGGAAAUCCCCGGGCUCAACCUGGGAACUGCCGUGGUGACUGCAAGGCUAGAGUACGGCAGAGGGGGAUGGAAUUCCGCGUGUAGCAGUGAAAUGCGUAGAGAUCAGAAGGAACAUCCGUGGCGAAGGCGGCAUCCUGGGCCAACACUGACACUGAGGCACGAAAGCGUGGGGAGCAAACAGGAUUAGAUACCCAGUAGUC